AUUGAACGCUGGCGGCAUGCUUUACACAUGCAAGUCGAACGGUAACAGGCCGCAAGGUGCUGACGAGUGGCGAACGGGUGAGUAAUGCAUCGGAACGUGCCCAGUCGUGGGGGAUAACGCAGCGAAAGCUGCGCUAAUACCGCAUACGAUCUAUGGAUGAAAGCGGGGGACCGAAAGGCCUCGCGCGAUUGGAGCGGCCGAUGUCAGAUUAGGUAGUUGGUGGGGUAAAGGCUCACCAAGCCAACGAUCUGGAGCUGGUCUGAGAGGACGACCAGCCACACUGGGACUGGGACACGGCCCAGACUCCUACGGGAGGCAGCAGUGGGGAAUUUUGGACAAUGGGCGCAAGCCUGAUCCAGCAAUGCCGCGUGCAGGAAGAAGGCCUUCGGGUUGUAAACUGCUUUUGUACGGAACGAAAAGGCUCUGGUUAAUACCUGGGGCUCAUGACGGUACCGUAAGAAUAAGCACCGGCUAACUACGUGCCAGCCGCCGCCGUAACAC
rnacentral:rRNA from 1 species